rnacentral:rRNA from 1 species
GGAAGUAAAAGUCGUAACAAGGUCUCCGUAGGUGAACCUGCGGAGGGAUCAUUACUGAGUGAGGGCCUUCGGGCUCGACCUCCAACCCUUUGUGAACACAACUUGUUGCUUCGGGGGCGACCCUGCCGUUUCGACGGCGAGCGCCCCCGGAGGCCUUCAAACACUGCAUCUUUGCGUCGGAGUUUAAGUAAAUUAAACAAAACUUUCAACAACGGAUCUCUUGGUUCUGGCAUCGAUGAAGAACGCAGCGAAAUGCGAUAAGUAAUGUGAAUUGCAGAAUUCAGUGAAUCAUCGAAUCUUUGAACGCACAUUGCGCCCCUUGGUAUUCCGAGGGGCAUGCCUGUUCGAGCGUCAUUUCACCACUCAAGCCUCGCUUGGUAUUGGGCGCCGCGGUGUUCCGCGCGCCUCAAAGUCUCCGGCUGAGCUGUCCGUCUCUAAGCGUUGUGAUUUCAUUAAUCGCUUCGGAGCGCGGGCGGUCGCGGCCGUUAAAUCUUUCAUAAGGUUGACCUCGGAUCAGGUAGGGAUACCCGCUGAACUUAAGCAUAUCAAUAAGCGGAGG